UACGUAGGGUGCGAGCGUUGUCCGGAAUUACUGGGCGUAAAGAGCUCGUAGGUGGUUUUGUCGCGUUUGUCCGUGAAAAACUCACAACUCAAUUGUGGGCGUGCGGGCGAUACGGGCAGACUGGAGUACUGCAGGGGAGACUGGAAUUCCUGGUGUAGCGGUGGAAUGCGCAGAUAUCAGGAGGAACACCGGUGGCGAAGGCGGGUCUCUGGGCAGUAACUGACGCUGAGGAGCGAAAGCGUGGGGAGCGAACAGG
rnacentral:rRNA from 1 species